rnacentral:rRNA from 1 species
UACGGGGGGGGGCAAGCGUUGUUCGGAAUUACUGGGCGUAAAGGGCUCGUAGGCGGCCAACUAAGUCCGACGUGAAAUCCCCAGGCUUAACCUGGGAACUGCGUCGGAUACUGGAUGGCUUGAAUUCGGGAGAGGGAUGCAGAAUUCCAGGUGUAGCGGUGAAAUGCGUAGAUAUCUGGAGGAAUACCGGUGGCGAAGGCGGCAUCCUGGACCGGCAUUGACGCUGAGGAGCGAAAGCCAGGGAGCAAACGGG